AAUUGAAUUGUGAAAUCAAAAUUGUGAAUCGCAUCAUGAGUUGAGUGAACCGUUACAUCCCUAGUGUCUUGAAAAGUAGUUUGACCAACUAGCAGUUGCCAAGAGGAAAUCAGUCUUACUUUUCCAAUACAAAUAAGACCACUCUACCUUUUCAUAACAAAUUAAAAAGUUAUGACCAGUCUUGAAGAAAAAAAAUUUGAUGACUAACUUUUUAAGACUAGUCUAAACAGUUUAUGUGUGUGAGCGUGUGGUGAGGAGCGUGUAUUGUGUGUGUGUGCGUGUGGUGAGGAGCGUGUAUUGUGUGUGUGUGGUGAGGAGCGUGUAUUGUGUGUGCGAGCGUGUGGUGAGGAGCGUGUAUUGUGUGUGCGAGCGUGUGGUGUGGAGCGUGUAUUGUGUGUGCGAGCGUGUGGUGUGGAGCGUGUAUUGUGUGUGUGAGCGUGUGGUGAGAAGCGUGUAUUGUGUGUGUGAGCGUGUGGUGAGAAGCGUGUAUUGUGUGUGUGAGCGUGUGGUGAGGAGCGUGUAUUGUGUGUGUGAGCGUGUGGUGAGAAGCGUGUAUUGUGUGUGCGAGCGUGUGGUGAGAAGCGUGUAUUGUGUGUGCGAGCGUGUGGUGAGGAGCGUGUAUUGUGUGUGUGAGCGUGUGGUAAGGAGCGUGUAUUGUGUGUGUGAGCGUGUGGUGAGGAGCCUGUAUUGUGUGUGUGAGCGUGUGGUAAGGAGCCUGUAUUGUGUGUGCGAGCGUGUGGUGAGGAGCCUGUAUUGUGUGUGUGAGCGUGUGGUAAGGAGCCUGUAUUGUGUGUGUGAGCGUGUGGUAGGAGCCUGUAUUGUGUGUGUGAGCGUGUGGUGAGGAGCGUGUAUUGUGUGUGUGAGCGUGUGGUGAGGAGCGUGUAUUGUGUGUGUGAGCGUGUGGUAAGGAGCCUGUAUUGUGUGUGUGAGUGUGUGGUGUGGAGCGUGUAUUGUGUGAGCGUGUGGUAAGGAGCCUGUAUUGUGUGUGUGAGCGUGUGGUGUGGAGCGUGUAUUGUGUGUGUGAGCGUGUGGUGAGGAGCGUGUAUUGUGUGUGUGAGCGUGUGGUGUGGAGCGUGUAUUGUGUGUGUGAGUGUGUGGUGAGGAGCGUGUAUUGUGUGUGUGAGCGUGUGGUGAGGAGCGUGUAUUGUGUGUGUGAGCGUGUGGUGAGGAGCCUGUAUUGUGUGUGUGAGCGUGUGGUGAGGAGCCUGUAUUGUGUGUGUGAGCGUGUGGUGAGGAGCGUGUAUUGUGUGUGUGAGCGUGUGGUGAGGAGCGUGUAUUGUGUGUGUGAGCGUGUGGUAAGGAGCCUGUAUUGUGUGUGUGAGCGUGUGGUUGGAGCCUGUAUUGUGUGUGUGAGCGUGUGGUGAGGAGCCUGUAUUGUGUGUGUGAGCGUGUGGUGAGGAGCGUGUAUUGUGUGUGUGAGCGUGUGGUGAGGAGCCUGUAUUGUGUGUGUGAGCGUGUGGUGAGGAGCGUGUAUUGUGUGUGUGAGCGUGUGGUAAGGAGCCUGUAUUGUGUGUGUGAGCGUGUGGUGAGGAGCGUGUAUUGUGUGUGUGAGCGUGUGGUGAGGAGCGUGUAUUGUGUGUGUGAGCGUGUGGUGUGGAGCGUGUAUUGUGUGUGUGAGAGUGUGGUGAGGAGCGUGUAUUGUGUGUGUGAGCGUGUGGUGAGGAGCGUGUAUUGUGUGUGUGAGCGUGUGGUGAGGAGCGUAUAUUGUGUGUGGCGUACAUGUUUGAGAAGGGCCAGGAUGUAGAGCGGGAGCAGACGCAGGCAGGCGGGGGUCAGCAGGCCGGGCUGAGGGACGGUCAGCACAGAGGAGCGGUAGGAUGCCAGCGAGUCGAUUGCAGCGUUGAUCAGAGCGUCACGAGCAUCACUCAGACUCGCCGACACACAGCGAUCCACGGCUGAACCACAAACACACAUCAGAACAAACACAGAUCAGAACAAACACACAUCAGAACAAACACACUCCGUUACAAUGCUUCAGAAAAGAAUGUAGUAACCUCUGCUACUCCUGAGGUCUGGAACAUGAGCGCUGAGUCUGACAGCUUCACGUUACCAAACACUCGACUCAACAGAAGAAGCCAAACUGAUAUUAUAAAAUAAUUCAGAGUGGAUAAGCCUCAAUCAAUAUCUGAUAUUCACCUGAGAUCAGUUCAAUUCUAUAUGAAUGCCUUCUAUAUUCUUCUAAAUAUCAUUCUGCAGAAGAAAGAAACUCAAGAGGACAGAAUGAUCUGUAUUCAUAAUUCUUCAUAAACAUCUCUGCUCUAUU
ensembl:lncRNA